rnacentral:lncRNA from 1 species
CAGGAAGGUCCGAGGCUGGGGGAGCAGCCGUUGGCUCUGGUGCCCCUGGGGGUGGGAGCACGAGUGGGCAAGGAUGAUGGUGAGGCAGAGGAGGCGGCCCCGAGGGAGCGCCCGGCUGAGAGGCGGGGGGCCGAGGGGCCCGGGGAGCGGGCGUCACCGAGGGCCCUGGAAGCGGCAGGGCUGGGGGAGAGGAGACGCGUGUGUGGAGCAUGGGGACCCCAGCCCAGCUCCCACUUGCAGACCUGGGCCGCGGGCUGCCGGCCGAGUGGCCGGGGGGCCUGGCUGCCCAGGAGGCGGGCCGGGGCCGCGGCCGGGGGCGCGGAGCGGAGUUAGGGUCGCCAGGCCGAGCCGAGGUGGGACGGACCGACGCAGAGAGGAAGGGAAGCCACCUGGCCUGAAGAUCCUGUCUCUAAGAUCCCAUUCUGAGACAGAGUUUUGCUCUUCUUGCCCAGGCUGGAGUGCAAUGGCAUGAUGUUGGCUCACCACAACCUCCACUUCCUGGGUUCAAGUGAUUCUCCUGCCUCAGCCUCCUGUGUAGCUGGGAUUACAGGCAUGCUCCACCACGACCGACUAAUUUUGCAUUUUUAGUAGAGACGGGAUUUCUCCAUGUUGUUCAUGUUGGUUUCGAACUCCCAACCUCAGGUGAUCUGCCUGCCUCCGCCUCCCAAAGUGCUGGGAUUACAGGUUGUGAGCCACUAUGCCCGGCCUCUCUUAAUCUAUUUCUGAGAGUUCUGUUACAUAUUCUGAUGUUUAAUCUUCAGUUAUAUGUAUUAGAUAUCUUCCACCAAAGUACAGUUUGCCUUUUAAUUUUAUUAGAUUUUCUAUUGCAUGUUGAAAAGUAGGUGAUAUUUUUGUGUCUUAUCUAAGAAAUACUUCCUGCUCUAAGUCCCGAAGAUGUUCUUUUAAGUUUGGCUGUUCAUGUUUAGCAAUUUGAAGUGCCAAAAUUUUGUAAUUAUAUCAUGAAGAAGGGAACUAAUUUUACUUUUUCCUUCUAAAGAACUGGCCAGUUUAGUACUAUUGAAUAGUUUCAUUUUUUCCCCACUGAUCUGAUUAAAAGAAAAUUUCCCGGUAUCUUUUAUGUAUCUAGUUCUACGUUUUGAGGCUCUCUACAGUUUUGCAGCAAAUCUGGCUAUCUGGUAAUGUGUAUUUGCAUCAUGCCUUCUUCCAAAUUUCUUGCUGUUGGUCCUUUAUGUCAUGUGAACUUUUGGAUCUGUUUCUCAGCUUUCAUUAAAAAUACUGUAGGCAAUUUGACUGGAAUUUCUUUGAAUUUAUAGAUGUUCAUGAGAAUCACCAUCCUUAAAAAAUGUAUCCUACCAUUUGUAUAGAGCUUCAUGCUUUCAGGCAUUACUGUUUUCUCUAUAAAGAUUUUAAAUAUAUCAUUAGUUUUGUCGUUGUUAUGAAUGAUACUUAAAAAAUGAAUAUUUUCUACUUUUUUAUUAGUUUUCAAAUAUUCUUUACUGAACACUUUUGCUAAAUUCUUUAUUAGUUUUAAUAGUUCUUAUUGUCAGUUGGAUUUCCUGUAUAGAUUAUUCUUAAUAUAU